GACGAACGCUGGCGGCGUGCUUAACACAUGCAGGUCGAACGGUGAAGGGGAGCUUGCUCCCCCGAUCAGUGGCGAACGGGUGAGUAACACGUGAGCAACCUGCCCCUGACUCUGGGAUAACAGCUGGAAACAGCUGCUAAUACCGGAUACGACCUCCACAGGCAUCUGUGUUGGUGGAAAGCUCCGACGGUCAGGGAUGGGCUCGCGGCCUAUCAGCUUGUUGGUGGGGUAACGGCCCACCAAGGCGACGACGGGUAGCCGGCCCGAGAGGGCGACCGGCCACACUGGGACUGAGAUACGGCCCAGACUCCUACGGGAGGCAGCAGUGGGGAAUAUUGCACAAUGGGCGAAAGCCUGAUGCAGCAACGCCGCGUGCGGGAUGACGGCCUUCGGGUUGUAAACCGCUUUCAGCAGGGACGAAGUGAAAAUGACGGUACCUGCAGAAGAAGCACCGGCUAACUACGUGCCAGCCGCCGCAGUAAUAC
rnacentral:rRNA from 1 species